rnacentral:rRNA from 1 species
UAUCAAUAAGCGAAGGAAAAGAAACUUCAAAGAUUUCCCUUAGUAACGGCGAGCGAACCGGGAAAUGCCUAGUUUGAGAAUCGGGAGCCCUCGGCRUCCGAAUUGUAGUCUGGAGAAGCAUCCUCAGCGGCGGACCUGGCCCAAGUCCCUUGGAAGGGGGCGCCAGAGAGGGUGAGAGCCCAGUCGUGCCCGGACCCUGUCGCACCACGAGGCGCUGUCUGCGAGUCGGGUUGUUUGGGAAUGCAGCCCCAAUCGGGCGGUAAAUUCCAUCCAAGGCUAAAUAUGGGCGAGAGACCAAUAGCAAACAAGUAUCGCGAGGGAAAGAUGAAAAGGACUUUGAAAAGAGAGUCAAAGAGUGCUUGAAAUUGUCGGGAGGGAAGCGGAUGGACGCUGGCAAUACGCCCCGAUCGGAUGUGGAACGGCGUGAGCCAGUCUGUCGAUCAACUCAGGGCGUGGACCAAUGCGGAUUGCCACGGCGGCCCAAGCUCAGGCUGAUGAUAAACCCGCGGAGAUGUCGUCGCUCCGAUCAUGGUKGCCAGCGCGCUCCUGU